rnacentral:piRNA from 1 species
UGAUGGAGCCGCACAAACCGGAGCGA